UGACCAUCGUUGCUUC
rnacentral:rRNA from 4 species